AUGAAAUUAAAAUUAUUAAAUAUAAUUUUAUCAAUAAUAAAUAAACUUAAUAAUAAUAAUAAUAUUAUUAUUAAUAAUCUAUUAGAUUCAUUAAUAAAUAAGAAAUUAUUAUUAAAGAAUAUAUUAUUAGAUAUAAAUAAUAAAAAAAUAAAUAAUAUAAAAAGAAUAUUAAAUAAUAAUAAUAUAAAUAUUAAUAAUAAAUUACAACAUUUAAAUAAUAUAAAUAAUUGAAAUCUACAAAUUUAUAAUUAUAAUAAAAAUAUAGAAAUUAUAAAUAUUAUAAAUGAUAAAUUAAUUAAUAAAUUAUUAUAUAAAAUAAUAACUUUAAAAUUAAAUAAUAUAAAUGUUAAUAAAAUUAUUAUAAGUAAACUUAUUAAUCAACAUAGUUUAAAUAAAUUAAAUAUUAAAUUUUAUUAUUAUAAUAAUGAUAUUAAUAAUAAUAAUAAUAAUAAUAAUAAUAAUAAUAAUAAUAAUUAUUAUAUAAAUAUAAUAAAUAAAUUAAUAAAUAUUAUAAAUAAUAAUAUAAAUAAUAAUUUAUGUAAUAUUUUAAGUUAUUAUUAUAAUAAAAAAGUAACUAUUGAACCUAUUAAAUUAUCAUAUAUUUAUUUAAAUAGUGAUAUUUUUAGUAAAUAUAUUAGUUUAAAUGAUAUAGAUAAAUAUAAUAAUGGUAUCUUAACUAAUUAUCAACGUAUAUUAAAUAAUAUUAUGCCUAAAUUAAAUGAUCAUAAUAUUUCUAUAAAUUAUAUUAAUAAUAUUAAUAAUAUUAAUAAUAAUAAAUAUAAUAAUAUAAUUAAUUUAUUAAAUAAUAAUAAUAAUAUUAAUAAUAAUAAUAAUUAUAAUAAUUAUAAUAAUAAUAAUAAUAAUAAUUAUAUUGGUAAUAUUAAUAAUAUUUAUAAUAAUAUAACUAUUGAUAAUAUUCCUAUAGAUAUUUUAAUAUAUAAAUAUUUAGUUGGUUGAUCUAUUAAAUUUAAAGGUAGAUUAAGUAAUAAUAAUGGUAGAACUAGUACACUUAAUUUAUUAAAUGGUACUUUUAAUAAUAAAAAAUAUUUAUGAAGUAAUAUUAAUAAUAAUUAUAAAUUAAAUUAUAUCCCUUCUAAUCAUAAUUUAUAUAAUAAUUCUAAUAUUAAUAAAAAUGGUAAAUAUAAUAUUAAAGUUAAAUUAAACUUUAUUUAA
rnacentral:rRNA from 1 species